CGGCGUAUAGCUCAGUGGUACAGCGUGUGCCUAUUAGAAUGCACGAGGUCCUGGGUUCCAUCCCCGGUACCCCCA
rnacentral:tRNA from 1 species